CAGCACUGUAUGCAAAGAGUCACUGAAGAAACAUCUUAUAUGAAGACAAUUUUGAUGUUGAAUAACUGCGAGAACGGCCAUUGGAAAUGUUCUGGCUGAAAUUCUAGGAUUCAGAAAAUAGACGGAUGCUGAAGAUUUCACCUGACUGUUUCAUCCAAGGAAACCCCAGACAGCCUCAGGUGUCUGCUACCUGCAAGUAGAAAAAGCACGGGAAUUCCAGAAAAACAUCUACUUCUGCUUCACUGCCUACAUGAAAGACUUUGACUAUGCAGAUGAUAACAAACUGUGAAAAAUUCUUAAGAAAAUGGAAAUACCAGACCACCUCACCUAUCUCCUAAGAUACCUGUAUGCAGGUCAAGAAGC
ensembl:lncRNA